rnacentral:tRNA from 1 species
UGGGGAUUGGUGUAACGGUAGCACAACUGACUCUGACUCAGUUUGUCCUAGUUCGAAUCUAGGAUCCCCAACUA